AACGAACGCUGGCGGCAGGCCUAACACAUGCAAGUCGAGCGAACCCUUCGGGGUUAGCGGCGGACGGGUGAGUAACGCGUGGGAACGUGCCCUUUGCUACGGAAUAGCCCCGGGAAACUGGGAGUAAUACCGUAUGUGCCCUUCGGGGGAAAGAUUUAUCGGCAAAGGAUCGGCCCGCGUUGGAUUAGGUAGUUGGUGGGGUAAUGGCCUACCAAGCCGACGAUCCAUAGCUGGUUUGAGAGGAUGAUCAGCCACACUGGGACUGAGACACGGCCCAGACUCCUACGGGAGGCAGCAGUGGGGAAUCUUAGACAAUGGGCGCAAGCCUGAUCUAGCCAUGCCGCGUGAUCGAUGAAGGCCUUAGGGUUGUAAAGAUCUUUCAGUGGGAAGGAUAAUGACUGUACCCACAGAAGAAGCCCGGCUAACUCCGUGCCAGCAGCCGCGGUAAAGUCUAGCAU
rnacentral:rRNA from 1 species